rnacentral:lncRNA from 1 species
UGUAUGCCUCCAUUUGAGAUGUCCAAAUGUGUUUUAAAUGAACCAUGUGCUAGUUGAAUCACUUGCUCACUUGUUAUACCACUCAAUGACUCAUUUUCUACAUGUUCUCACUUGUUGUGUGUCUUCGUGGCCCAUUUAUGAAUAUGUUUUAGCCCAAUAAGAUUCAUUGUGUCAUAUAAAUUCCUAAGUAUUACUACAUUG